rnacentral:rRNA from 1 species
GACGAACGCUGGCGGCGUGCUUAACACAUGCAAGUCGAACGGAAAGGCCCUGCUUUUGUGGGGUGCUCGAGUGGCGAACGGGUGAGUAACACGUGAGUAACCUGCCUUUUACUUUGGGAUAACUUCAGGAAACUGGGGCUAAUACCGGAUAGGAGCUCCUGCUGCAUGGUUGGGGUUGGAAAGUUUCGGCGGUUGGGGAUGGACUCGCGGCGUAUCAGCUUGUUGGUGGGGUAGUGGCUUACCAAGGCUUUGACGGGUAGCCGGCCUGAGAGGGUGACCGGCCACAUUGGGACUGAGAUACGGCCCAGACUCCUACGGGAGGCAGCAGUGGGGAAUAUUGCACAAUGGGCGGAAGCCUGAUGCAGCAAAGCCGCGUGCGGGAUGACGGCCUUCGGGUUGUAAACCGCUUUCGCCUGUGACGAAGCGUGAGUGACGGUAAUGGGUAAAGAAGCACCGGCUAACUACGUG